rnacentral:tRNA from 1 species
CAAUUUAAUAGUUUAAGAAGAAUACAGGUUUUUGGGACCUGAGGUCUCUUUCGGAGUAAAUUGA